rnacentral:rRNA from 1 species
GACGAACGCUGGCGGCGUGCUUAACACAUGCAAGUCGAACGGAAAGGCCCUGCUUUUGUGGGGUGCUCGAGUGGCGAACGGGUGAGUAACACGUGAGUAACCUGCCCUUGACUUUGGGAUAACUUCAGGAAACUGGGGCUAAUACCGGAUAGGAGCUCCUGCUGCAUGGUGGGGGUUGGAAAGUUUCGGCGGUUGGGGAUGGACUCGCGGCUUAUCAGCUUGUUGGUGGGGUAGUGGCUUACCAAGGCUUUGACGGGUAGCCGGCCUGAGAGGGUGACCGGAAACAUUGGGACAGAGAGACGGCCCAGACUCCUACGGGAGGCAGCAGUGGGGAAUAUUGCACAAUGGGCGGAAGCCUGAUGCAGCAACGCAGCGUGCGGGAUGACGGCCUUCGGGUUGUAAACCGAUUUCGCCUGUGACGAAGCGUGAGUGACGGUAAUGGGUAAAGAAGCACCGGCUAACUACGUG